rnacentral:rRNA from 1 species
AUAGAUAUUUUUAGAUAUUGAAAUUAUUUAAAAUAUUUAUAGGGAGUUACACGUUAUCGUUUCUUAGGUUAUCUAGUUGAAUGAAUUUAAAGGGAAACCUUUUUAGAGGAUUUUUUUUGUAAAAAUAUGGUUAUUUUCUUAAUAGUAGGAAAUUGUGUAAUAACAUAAUUUUAUAAAUGAGGAAUCCUUUCUAUUUUUAAGAAUUUAUUUUAAUUAAUUAGUGGAUUAGUAGAAAAGAAUUUAUUUAUUGAAAUUUUAUAUUAUUUUUAUUUUUAAAAGUUAUUUUUGUUUACUGAUUUUUUCUUAGACUGGUUAAUAAAAUCUUAGCUAUAAUAAUUAUAGUUAUUUCUGCCCUAUGCGAUUCUAGGUAAAUGGCUGUCUUGUGACACUAAGGUAGCAUAAUCAUUAGUUAUUUAAUUGAUAACUUGAAUGAAUGAAUUUUCUAGGAAGAUAUUAUUUUUUUUUUUAAAUUUAUAUUUUUGUUGAAAAUAACAAUAUUUCCUAUAAGACUAAAAGACCCUAAAAUUUUUAUAACUGAGAAGUUAUUUGGUUGGGGAAAUAAAAAGAAAUAAAUAAUAAAUAAUUUAUUUUUCUUUGAACUUUUAAUAAAGAUAAAAGGUAAAAUACUUUAGGGAUAACAGCUUAAUUAUUUUUAAGAGUUCUUAUUAUUAAAAUAGUUUUAGACCUCGAUGUUGGAUUGAGGGUUCUUUUUGGGGCAG